AAUUUUGUCCAAAAGUUAGAAGACAACAUAAGAAGAAGAAGAAUGAAUGAAGAUUUGGAGAUCUAUAUAGCAAUUCAAAUAAUGAGUGCUAACUAACUUAAAAGACUAUUGUACUAGAGUGGAGUUCACCAAGAGCACAUGCGAAGGAUAGUGACUAUGGAAUCUCUAGUUACCAAGAAAAAAAAUAACAUAGUCUCAACUAUUUCGAUACAAACGAUUUAUUUAUGCUCAAUAUUUAUACUAAUUGAUAUUUAGGUGCAUAAUAUGUGUGUUUAGAUAUAAACCUUUAUCACUUAAAUGCAGUAAACUUGUUCAGAUUA